AGAGAAAGAGAGAGAGAGAGAGAGAGAGAGAGAAAGGGGAGAGAGAGACAGAAACACAGGCACAAAGCGGUGUUGCUAACAAAGGCAGUUAGUCUGGGCUCUCAUAGCAGCUAACCACCUAUAACUACAGUAACAAGGUGCUGCACCAGAGCUGUGAUGAUGCUCCCCGAGGCCUCCUCUCUCACCCCAUGUUCUGACUCCCUGGGAUGUGUGGAGCUGUGAGGUCCACUGUCACCGCCCGUCACCACCCAUGGCCCUGGAAGAGAAGAGGUGACGGAGCAGUUUGUCUGUUGACCUUUCCCCUCUCAGUCAGAUCGGUCCUCAUCUCUGUUCCAUCCCCUUUGGCAACACCUGUCUCUCUGUGGCCUUCAUGUAUUUGCUCAUGGUCGUGCCUCAGUGUGUACAUGGUGUGUUACCUAUGUUUUCCUGGACAUUUAAAGUUCAAGUGGAAUCUUUGUUGGCUAUCCAAUAGCAUUCUGUUAUUUGGUAUUAUGGAAUUAUAAAGAGGGGGGUAAUCCAUGUGGAUCAUGGGUCAUAAAAGUUCACAUUAUAGUAAUUUCCCCUGAUUAGAGUCUUGGUGGUCAUACAAUUAAUUUGAUUUUAUGGAAAUAAUUAAAUGAAGGAUCCAAGUGUGAAGUAGGCUACAGUAUUUGGAUAACUGAUUUGUGUGGGUGAAAUGGGGAUCACUGUUUUCACUGUGAAAUUAUAUGAGUUAGGGACAAAUGUUUUUGUAUUUUAUCAUUUUAUACAUAUUAACAUAUUAACAUACUGCCUUGCAGGGAAACUGAAAACUGCACAGGUGAUCAUUUUACCAAAGUCAGGCAUGAUUCUUAUGUUUUGGAUUUCUAGACUCGAUACAUAAGCAAAGUCUGCUGAAUGAUUUGACUUAGGCUACAGUGUGUCAAACAGGUUUAAAGUUCUUAAAAUUAUUGUUGUCAUAGAAGACGCCAGUAUUGCAUGUUGAAAGAACGAUAAAGAAUGUCUGAUUCAAACCAAAAUAAAAUAAUGUACAGUCUGUUGUGUUAUGUGAUAGCCUUUCCCCACUGUUC
rnacentral:lncRNA from 1 species